CAUGCAAGUCGAACGGACCCUUCGGGGUUAGUGGCGGACGGGUGAGUAACACGUGGGAACGUGCCUUUAGGUUCGGAAUAGCUCCUGGAAACGGGUGGUAAUGCCGAAUGUGCCCUUCGGGGGAAAGAUUGAUCGCCUUUAGAGCGGCCCGCGUCUGAUUAGCUUGUUGGUGGGGUAAUGGCCCACCAAGGCUACAAUGAGUAGCUGGUCUGAGAGGAUGACCAGCCACGUUGGGACUGAGACACUGCCCAAACUCCUACCGGAGGCAGCAAUGGGGAAUCUUGCGCAAUGGGCGAAAGCCUGACGCAGCCAUGCCGCGUGUAUGAUGAACGUCUUAGGAUUGUGAAAUACUUUCACCGGUGAAAAUAAUGACUGUAUCCGGAGAAGAAGCCCCGGCUAACUUCGUGCCAGCUUCCCCGGUAAGACAAAAGGGGCUAGCGUUGCUCGGAAUUACUGGGCGUAAAGGGAGCGUAGGAUGACAUUUAAAUCAGAAGUGAUUUCCCUGAGCUUAACUUCAGAACUGCCUUUGAUACUGUGUGUCUUGAGUGUGAGAGAGGUAUGUGGAACUCCUUGUGACUGCGUGAAAUUAAUUAUUAUUCAGUAACAACACAUACGGCGUGUGCGACAUACUGGCUCAUAGCUGACGCUGAAUACUCGAUUGCGUGGCAGCUACUACGAAUAGAUUCCCUGCUGAUGCACGACAGUAACGAUGAUUGCUAGUUGUAGGUAAAGCUUGUAUUCUCGGUGACGCACUAACGACAUCUAGCUGUCGGACUGGAGUUGUACUGUCUAAACGAUAAUGACUCAGUAGGCACUGCACGGGGAGUCCGCUCAAGCAGAUGAACCUGUAGAUGUAUUGCCAGGCACGCCGCACAGCCGUUGCAGCAUUGUGGAC
rnacentral:rRNA from 1 species